rnacentral:rRNA from 1 species
GACGAACGCUGGCGGCGUGCCUAACACAUGCAAGUCGAGCGGAGUCGAUCGACGGAAGCCUUCGGGCGGAAGAUGGUUGACUUAGCGGCGGAUGGGUGAGUAACGCGUGGGCAACCUGCCUCGAAGACCGGGAUAACAGCCCGAAAGGGCUGCUAAUACCGGAUGUGGUCAAGGAUCCGCAUGGAUUUUUGAUUAAAGGGGAAACCCGUUUCGAGAUGGGCCCGCGUCCUAUCAGCUAGUUGGUGAGGUAAAAGCUCACCAAGGCGACGACGGGUAGCCGGCCUGAGAGGGUGACCGGCCACACUGGAACUGAGACACGGUCCAGACUCCUACGGGGGCAGCAGUGGGGAAUCUUCCACAAUGGGCGAAAGCCUGAUGGAGCGACGCCGCGUGAGCGAAGAAGGCCUCGGUUGUAAAGCUCUGUCUGGAGGGACGAAGGAAGUGACGGUACCUCCGGAGGAAGCCACGGCUAACUACGUG